AUUGAACGCUGGCGGCAGGCCUAACACAUGCAAGUCGAGCGAGCGGCGGACGGGUGAGUAAUGCCUAGGAAUCUGCCUGGUAGUGGGGGAUAACGUCCGGAAACGGGCGCUAAUACCGCAUACCCUCAGAUGUGCCCAGAGGGGAUUAGCUAGUAGGUGGGGUAAUGGCUCACCUGGGCGACGAUCCCGAGCUGGUCUGAGAGGAUGACCAGCCAAACUGGACCUGAGACACGGUCCAGACUCCUACGGGGGGCAGCAGUGGGAAAUAUUGCACAAUGGGCGAAAGCCGGAUGCAGCCAUGCCGGGUGUAUGAAGAAGGCCUUCGGGUUGUAAAGUACUUUCAGCGGGGAGGCGUUACCCGCAGAAGAAGCACCGGCUAACUCCGUGCCAGCAGCGCGGUAAUUC
rnacentral:rRNA from 1 species